AAUACUUAAAAUCUUAUAAAUACUUUAUUCAAAUGUACAAGUCAUUUUACUAGUUUGUUAGUGUUAAGUUAAGCUCCAUAUCUGUAUUGUGUUUGCAGGUCUAUUGCAAAGCCUCUCUGUUAACACUAAUCCCAUCGGGAUCCCUCCUUAACAGAGGGGACUGCUGACAGCUCAGAACAAAGUUAAGCAAAUUGCCCAAAACAGGGUUAUCUAGUGAAGGGAGCAGGAAAGCCAAAUGCAGAGGGAGGUUUUACAUCUGUAAACAAAAGGCUCCCCCAGCCCCGAGGGUUUGAAACUGGGAAGGUCCCCUCUGACACAAGCAGCCGUAAUUCCAGCCGGUGCUUCCUCGCAGGCUGUAACAAUGGGAACAUUGAGGCUCAACAACCCAUCGGGAGGUUUCAAGCACCAUUUGCUACUCUUGUUUACAGUCUUGUUUAUUUUAAAAUCAGAUCUCCUCGCCAAACAGGGUGACAAAAAGAGUCAGAUUAACAAACAGGGUUAGGAUUCUGGUAGGGGUGUGUAGCAGCUUGCCAAACAAAAAGAUGAUGUUGAACAUUCAAACUGGAGAACGUCCAAUGAGGUAAGCCCAUGUCUGUUUACCUUCACAAGCACUGCAUUAAUAGGUAUGUACUUGAAACUUUCCAGCCACUAAGGCGAGAUCACGGCUGAGAAGAGUCAGAGCUACAGGACAGAGACAGCUGCAGAUCACGGAGCUGAUGAGGGGAUUUAGGAGAGGCUCUCCUUUCCCAUCAUGCAAGUGAACACUCACGUAAGGAUGCGACACACACAGAGCUUUGUCUCAUUCACACGAGUGCUGCUGCCUCUUUUCAUGCAUGCCUUGGUCUGCACUAUAAAAACCGGUGAGUUUGACAGGAGUUGGUCAUUUUGGCCCAGGUCCAACAAUAUCCCAACAAUGAGGACAAAGCAAGAAGAAUUCAAGGACUUGGUCAGCAGCUGGUAGAAACCGUUGCAAUACCACUGGCUUCCACUGAGUUACCCCAAAUUAUAAAUACUGAGUCUUGAGAGAGUUUUAAACGCUGGGGAUUAUGGCCUAAUGCCAUUUUAUUGAUACGUCUGCCUCUGUUUUGUUUUUAAUCCAGUAACAGAUGUGCAUCUGGUCGCAGUUGUGGUGUGGGACCAAAAUUUAUUCUGAAGUGAGCAGCCACCAGCUUUAAAAGCAACUCUUCUUAUCACCCCUGAACCAGGCAAGCCUGUAACCCUGUCUCUGAACCCCUCGUGACCUGCAACCUCCCUCCUAACAGAUCUAGCUGUUGGUCACAGCCACCAGUGCAGUGGAAGCAGCUGCUGCCCCUUUCUGUGCUAGCCUGGAGAUCAGAGCUGCCACCCAGGAUGUGGGAGACCCUGAUGAAACCCUCUUUUCUACCCAAAGAGAAGCAAGGGUUCACAUCCCCCUGAAGGAGCCACCCAAGCAGUCAGGGGCUGCAGGCAGGGCUGCAGGCAGGGCUGUGGGGCAGUGCUGGGGGGAGCGGGCUACGUGUCGAGUGGUGUGGAUGAGGGAGGGAGCAGGCCUGUCGCUGAGCCUGUGCCAGAUGAUCAGUCUUCCUCCUGUCCCUGGAGCACACCAGGAGGAUAGAUGUGUGCCACUGGCACCGAGCAGCACAGCAAGCAAGGGGAUGGAGCAGCAACCUGGGAGCAGAGAGUAGCUGAAGGGACAGAGUGGCAGGUGCCAUGGGGACAUAGUGGGGCGGCAGCAGCGGCAGCACAGCCUUGCUCAGCUGGGAGCCACUCUGCCUCCCAGCCAGGGGUCCAGUAACAUGAGGGCAGGCUCUGAACUGAAACGCCUUGUGGCUUGGCGCUCCCUGGCUUUUCCAGGCUCCCUGUGAAAUUGAUGGCAUUGCUGGGGCCGGGCUCUGCUUUCUCCUAAUGCCUGGGAAAAGGAAACAGUGCUGGUGCUUUGCAGCUACUGCUGUGCUCACAUUUCCAAACUCCUGGCCUGUGUGCGGCUACAUGCACAACCUGCUCCAGGCACAGCAUCUGCUCAAGUCUUUGCUCCUGUGGCAGUUCAAACUCAAUAGCACCUUCUCCUCUGGGUCCCAAAGUGGCUCAAUAUGAAGAGAGCAACAUGCUUGUGUUCACCUCGAUGAGCAAUAAUUAUAAUUGCAUGCUUCAUCUCAAAUAAUUUCUGUUUCCUACCCAAAAGCACCACAGAACUGCUGGAGAGAGGUGUUGGCCUAAAAAUCACAUGCAGUGUGACCUGUACCUUGUUUUCACAUACUCUUCCUGCUUCAUCCUUUCUCCUGUGCACCUCUCCCCGGCUGCCAGCCCCUGUGGAGUGGGGCAGAGUGCGACAGGCAGCGCAGCACUGGGUGGGACGGAUGGAUGUCGACACAGAGCCUGGCUGCGGUGCUGCCGGGGAUGGGCAUCCUCAAGGGGCCAAACCACUGCAAAUGGCAACACGUGAAGAAAUACACACUGCUUUUAGCUACCAGCCUAGGCAAAAAGGAAACCUUGUACCUACUGUUGUAUGUAAAAUAUCUCCAAGGCAACAGUGCACAGCAGAAGAAGCUGCAUUAUAUUCAGCAAUAUCGGUUGAAUAGACUCUCGAUGAUGUGGGUAACCGGCAGGAUGCUCCCUGGUGGGUCAGCCUACGUGUAGCCUGCUGAGUAUUUUCAGCACUGCAAUGCUAUGAGUGCAUUUGUGUUUAUUUUAUACAUCUCUGCCUUUCUCAAAUUUAGGUUGGGCGUGGAAUUAUUUCUAGAUUCAGUUAUAUUUAAAAAUGAAACCCAGACCCCACAAAAACAGCUGCUGCUUUUCACUCAGAGCUGGAAUUUGGUGAGUCAAAAAUGAAGGUCCGGUUUUAAACAAUAUUCAACGCUCUUUGAACUAAAGAGCUUAGUCUGUUUCGUUUAACAGAAAGAUAAUUACAGUAAUUCGAUUACAGCUUAUGAACACCUAUAAGGAGAACAAUUGUGCUAGUUUUAGGCCUCUCUAGCCUAGCAGACAGUCGUGUUUUAAGAUCCAGUGACUGCAGGUUGCAGCUCUGUAAUGGCAGAGUGGGGCAAAUGUGAGGAGCCAGGAUAACUACACUUUGGAACAGUUUCCUGGAAACUGGAAGGAGCCUCCUACCCCAGUGGGUUUUUUAAAAACAGAUCGUUUUUUCCUACAUGGGAUGCUGCAGGCAGGCAGGAAUGCGGCUGGGGGAGUGCUGCAGUUUAUAGUAUGGAGAAGGUCAUGUUGGAAAAUUACAGUGAUUUCUUAUGGCUUCGGAUUCUUUGAAUGCAGACUGUAAGUCUACAGCAAGUAGAGCCUGUGAAAUGCAAACCAUUUAACAACUUACAUUCUGCACAGAGGCAGGUGGCUUGGAUCAACAUUGCUCCGUCUUGUGCAAGAAGUAAUGAAUCACGUCCUUGGUCAGGAAGGUGUUUUACCAGCACCGCAGAGAAAACGAGCAUUUGAAUCUGCAACAAACCCCGGGCGUACUGAGCAAUCGGUCAAAAAGACUUCUCACACUGAAAUCCGAGGAGGUGAAAAGGCUCCACAGAAGCCCCCCCGCCCCCAGACCCGCAGGGGUGGUGCUGCAGCAGUUUUCCGGCAGCCCACGCGGUCGCGGCCGAGGCAGCGGCCCCUCCGCUCGCCCCCGGUGCUUGCUGAGCCUGGGGGAGCUUCGGGGCCAGGAGAAGGGGGACGGCGGGCCACGGAGACACUCUCCGCAAGGACCCAUUCCCUCUGCACCGCGCCAGCCGCGGCGCCCCGCCGCGCGAGGGGCCCCCACGCGUGCCCCGCCCCCCGGCCCCUCGCCGCUUGCUUCCCCCGCGGUUUCUCGCCAUUCAUUCUGGCCGGGAGGGAAAACCGGGCUCCGCUGGCGCCAUCUGGUGCUAUCCGCGGGUCCUGACACCCUCCGAGGGCCGCCCCGGGCCCGGCCGGGGCGGCCCCGGGGGCUCCGGGCGGCGCUGCCCGCCUUCUGGGGCGGUGGGAGCCAGGGCUGAGUGUGCCUCCUCUGGGAGCAAGCGGCCGAUCGGGGGCGGGGGACGGGUGCCAGGCAGAGGGUGCAGGGUGCCGGGGGAGCAGCGGGUUGCUGGGCCACUGCAAGCCGGCCGGCCGGCGGCCCGGUGCGGGCAACGCAGCAGCGACGCCCGCAGAAGCGCUUCUGACACCUCAAAGCGUUGCAGAUGGCAGAACAUCCCACCCUUAUUUAUACCUUUAGCUAUAGAUUGCCCUGACUACCUGCUUAGACCGAAGAAGAAAGAGCAAAGGCGACAAUCCCUCAUCAGGAGGAGAUUUUUGGCAAAGUGAGUGCCAGGUCUGAACACGCGUUACCCGGCGGAGCUGUCCCACAGGGGCUGGGAGCGGCCGGGCCUGUCCACAGGCAGCUGAGAAACUUCGGAAGCCUGGGUAUUUUUUUCUUAAUACUAUCAAGCCAAUGCCAUUUAACUCUUUCAUGUGCAAAAUUUCCUAAUAAAUGUCAGAAUGCUGGCAA